UCCAGUUGCUGUAAUAAGUUGCAUAUUUACAGGUUGUAAUGGCGGUCUAGAGUCUGGUGGGAGAAUUUCAUACUUGGAUCUCUUCAGUAUGCUAACAUUAGAACCAGUAUCAAGUAAUGCGGACCAUAACGUUGUGUUAGUAGGUCUACUAACAGUUUGUAGUCAUAGUGGUCUCUGGAAUCAAGUUCUGUCAACAUGGAACGGGCAUCUCCUUUUAGACAACUAGCAAGGCAUAAUCCUUUGGAUCUUAAAUUCCAGUUAUUCAAGUCACUACAAAUUUGGAAAGAUUUUAGAAAUGCAUUCAAGUCGUCUGUACCGUCAAAAGUUGGCCGGUCCAGAAUGCAGUCAGCAAAAGGCAUUCAAAUAAGGCUGUAAUGGUAGAUCCAAUCAACAAUUUUACUUGUUUGAUUGAAUGGUCAGCACCUGGAAGAACUAUGGAAUAUCAGUAACUGAAGAUGUUGCUAAAACAGCAUAAUGAAAUAAUCAAUAAAAUAUUUUGUGUCACUGUCUCCCUGUGGUAUUCCUGGAAGAAUAAAGCAGACUGGUUGAUUAAUUUUCAAAGAUAAUCCCACUUCUGACACCAGUUGGAACGUACACGGGGUCUGCUAGCCCGCACACACUUCAAUAUCCAAACGUGGGUUCUUCUCAAACACACGUGGGGGAAAAUAGAGAGAUCUUUUGGAGUAAAUUAUACGGAUACCUGAAAUAAAGUUAUAACACAAUAAUUUAUUUAUAUAUCAUUUCACAAACAAUAUAAUCGGAUAUGGUUAAUCUGUAUAAUGGCUCUGGUUCCUCGUCUACCUCUGGUCAGGAAUGUUCGUCUGUUCGUCUGUGCCAAUUAGAAGUUCCACAUCUAGAUGUAGUUCCAGAAAUUCUAAGAGUAAAGAAAGGCUUGUCAAAAACAGUGUCACGUCUUGCCUUGUUAACAUAGGAGGCUUGACAAAAACGGUGUCACGUCUUGCUUAUACGGUUUUAUCAGGAAAUCUGGUUGAUACUGGCUCUCGGAAUGAAUGAAAGGCUAUAUAGUUGAAAGGAAUCUAUCUAUGUUAACUUUAAAUAUGGUUCUCUAGAAAGACAGAUUAUAUUGUAUAUUAAAUUAGGAAAUAUCUGUACUCGACCGGUAAAAUGGUCCUAGGUUUGUUAGAUAGGUAGUGAAUCUUUAUUAUAGAUAUAAAGAUAUAAGGUUCUAUCUAGUCUUGGAUUUGGUAAUUUUAUAUAGGACUUUAUUAUAUUUUCGUAGGUUUAUGGAAUACUGACAAACUGUCAAACCCUGCCAGAGAUUCUAGGCAAUCUUGUACUAUGGUUACUGUACCUUCUUGGUAGCAGGUGACACAUCCAUAGGAUGUUUUGGCAUUUAGGAAUUAGGAUAAUAGUGUAGUGGCUAGCACAAAUUCUAACCGGGUACUGACGACAGUGCCAGGGUCUGCCAGCUUUUUAUAGUCUCAGAGGGGUGGCUACAUUGGUAUGGGGUGCCAAGCUUGGCAGAGUCGUCAUCUAGUGGAUGACGUCAGCGCGCGUGCGGCAGAAUUUUAGCCCUAGCCAGAUAUGGCAUCUACGUUUGGCGACAGGUGGCUAAUUAGUAUUUCUUCGUCUCUAAUAUGGCUCGUUUAAUAUCUAAAGGCAUUAUAAGUUCAGAAAUAUGUUCAGGAGGGAUUGAUCUCUUGAUCCACAUCGGGUAUCGGUAUGAGGACGGUCUCAUAACAUAAUCAAUGUACGAAUAUUAUAGUGUACUAAUUUCGGAUAAACUGUAUCCGGACGUAAAAUGAUGAUGGCUUAGUCGUUACAGUAUUAUACACGGAGGUGUCU
rnacentral:lncRNA from 1 species